AUUGAACGCUGGCGGCAGGCCUAACACAUGCAAGUCGAACGAGUGGCGGACGGGUGAGUCAUGUCUGGGCAACUGCUCGAUGGAGGGGGAUAACUACUGGAAACGGUAGCUAAUACCGCAUACCAUCGGAUGAGCCCAGAUGGGAUUAGCUAGUAGGUGGGGUAACGGCUGACCUAGUCGACGAUCCCUAGCUGGUCUGAGAGGAUGAUCAGACACACUGGAACUGAGACACGGUCCAGACUCCUACGGGAGGCAGCAGUUGGGAAUAUUGCGCAAUGGGCGAAAGCCUGAUGCAGCCACGCCGCGUGUAUGAAGAAGGCCUUCGGGUUGUAAAAUUCUUUCAUCGAGGAAGCGGUACUCGCACAAAAAGCACCGGCUAACUCCGUGCCAGCAGCCGCGGUAAUUC
rnacentral:rRNA from 1 species